CUACGGGGGGCAGCAGUGGGGAAUAUUGCACAAUGGGCGCAAGCCUGAUGCAGCCAUGCCGUGUGUGUGAAGAAGGCCUUCGGGUUGUAAAGCACUUUCAGCGGGGAGGAAGGCGGUGAGGUUAAUAACCUCAUCGAUUGACGUUACCCGCAGAAGAAGCACCGGCUAACUCCGUGCCAGCGGCCGCGGUAAUACGGAGGGUGCAAGCGUUAAUCGGAAUUACUGGGCGUAAAGCGCACGCAGGCGGUCUGUCAAGUCGGAUGUGAAAUCCCCGGGCUCAACCUGGGAACUGCAUUCGAAACUGGCAGGCUAGAGUCUUGUAGAGGGGGGUAGAAUUCCAGGUGUAGCGGUGAAAUGCGUAGAGAUCUGGAGGAAUACCGGUGGCGAAGGCGGCCCCCUGGACAAAGACUGACGCUCAGGUGCGAAAGCGUGGGGAGCAAACAGGAUUAGAUACCCUGGUAGUC
rnacentral:rRNA from 1 species